rnacentral:rRNA from 1 species
CCUACGGGAGGCAGCAGUAGGGAAUAUUGCUCAAUGGGGGAAACCCUGAAGCAGCAACGCCGCGUGGAGGAUGAAGGUUUUAGGAUUGUAAACUCCUUUUGUUAGAGAAGAUAAUGACGGUAUCUAACGAAUAAGCACAGGGUAAACCCGUGCCGCCAGCCGCGGUAAUACGGAGGGUGCCAGCGUUACUCGGAAUCACUGGGCGUAAAGGGCGCGUAGGCGGGGUAGCAAGUCAGAUGUGAAAUCCUAGGGCUUAACCAUAGAACAGCAUUUGAAACUGUUAUUCUUGAGUAUGGGAGAGGUAUGUGGAAUGCGUGGUGUAGGGGUAAAAUCCAUAGAGAUCAAGAGGAAUACUGAUUGCGAAGGCGACCUGCUAGAACAUGACUGACGCUGAUGCGCGAAAGCGUGGGGAUCGAACAGGAUUAGAUACCCUAGUAGUC